rnacentral:misc_RNA from 1 species
GUUUAGAAUUCCUCUUUCAAACUAGAUAUAGUAUUAAUUGUUCCAUGUUACUUGAACAGAUUUUUUUUAAUAUUGUGUAAAGUUACUGGUAGUCUCUAGCUUGUCUUGAUGCACCAUUAUGUAAUUUUUGGGGGCGUUUCUUAUUCUCUCUCUUUUAGAGUCCUUUCAUUUUAAGUUGGGAAGCAUUUUAAAUGAGAUAUAAUAUUCAUCAUUGGAGUUAUGUUUUGUGUAGCAUUAUAGUAUAUCUUUGUUUGGUUGCUCGAUUUUUCCUUCUCUAUUGAGACCAUGAUGCUGAUCUUCUUUUGUUUUUGUUAGUAUCUUGAUUGGGUUCCUCUUGUUGUGUUAUUGAUCAGAAGUUUUAAUUUA